rnacentral:lncRNA from 1 species
CCGUGGUGGGCCGGGCCGGGUCGAGCCGGGUUACCCGUUUUGACAGCUCUAGUAUUUUAAUAAUUUUCAUUCUAGAAAAAAAACCUCCCAAACCCUUACUCAUCUCUCUCAUUCCUCUCAACCCUUUCUCUUUCAUCUCUUUCGCUCCAACCUUUUAUCUGUCAUCCCUACCGUAGCCCCAAUUGAAAAAAUCAGAAACCCUCGCCUAACCCUAAUCCACCUUCCUCACUUAUCCAAUUUGUAUCUCUCUCAUCUCCAUACUCUUUCUCACCCACACACAGCAACCCGUGACACCACAAUUUGUUGCUCUUGAUCUGUUUGUUCAUUUGUAAGAUUAUUCAUUGUAUCUUAGUAUGUUUAUUUAUUGUUAUUAAUUUGGUAUUACAU